AAAUCAAACUGGUUUUGAUCCUUGAGAAGAAAGGCGGCAGGGCUAAUUCAUGGCAACGUACGGUUAGACAAGGUCCUCGGUACCCAGAAUGCAGCAUGGUAGUGUUUGCCACGCGCACAUUGAAUUCUAGUUCGUGUGGCGUAGAAGCAAGAAAUCAAAACAGGCCCUUUUUUUUUUUUUUUUUUUUUAACAGAUACUGUAUACAGAGGUUGUUGUUUAUUUCAUUCAUGCAACUUUUUUUCUUUAAAAAAAAAAAAGUUAAACAUGUGAAGCCCAAAACGCACAUUUUUCAAUAUUCACCAAUUUUUCUGGUCUCCUUCACGUCUGUUGACAUUUCCCACGUACAUAAUGUGCUAGGACAAGUAUACAAGAGAAGGCCGACUGAUUGCCAGAAAAGGAGAUAGUUUUAGAGAAAUAAGUGACCAGACACACACUUUUAAAAAAAGGCAGUCACACAAGUUUUCCCGGAGUGUGGCAGAGGCCUCGGAAUCAUUCAUUCGUGAAAGAAGGAUGAGUGAAAUUCAACAAGAGAAAAACUUCCACCCAUCUGAUCUGCGUGCUACACACGAGAUUUAGUUCAGUACCACUUACUCCUGUCAGUGGCUUGGGCAUCCGCUCUAAGGUCCUGUCUGACCAACGUGAACCCACAAGAUCUCUCUCUCUCUCUCUCUCUCUCACUUCACGCCCCGUUCCUGCUGCUGCUACCACUCCCAGAGCUGACUUCUUUGUAUCUCGAUACCAGUGAUUGCUUUCCUACAAAAGGUCUGCUUUUAAUAAAAAAAAAACAAAAAAAACCCCAAAAAAACAGAACAUUAUUCCGCCUAAUCGUGAUGUUCCCCAUAUACAUGAGGAAAAAGGAAAAAAAAAAUCAGCCCCCAUUACCUUUGCUCUGUUCUCAGAGAUUAGGUAGCAUUUUGUUCCCCUUCGUCCGGGGGACGACGAUGGAAGGUUUGUUUUCUCUCUGCCUUACUCCAGAAGUUCUUUCCCAAGGGAUGCAAAUGCUGCUCGUUCCUUCAUUGGAUGGAGCGCUUUAAGAAAAGGCAAAGUUGUCUGUCUGUCCCUAUGAACUUUAACCUGUGUAUGGGUUUAGAAGUUGGCUGAAGUCACACCUGAGAUGGGGUGUACCCUCUCCUCGGGCUGAUGCUAAUCACCAACCCCCAAUGUCCGCUUUGUGCUACACCCGGUGCACGCUCCUCCAUCGGCAGGAGACGUAGGAAAACAGUUCUGUGUGCUUCAGCUGUCACUAUGUUGCAGAGGAUACAAUGGCGAACACACCUCUAUUGCAGUCACAGUUAGCCGGAAUGCUGAACCCAGUCAGUUCUAGCGCUAGGAUGGCAGAGGCUCGCCACAGGCUGGCCUAUCUUUGGUACAAAGUAUCAAUUUCUAGAGCCUGAUGAGAACCAUGGAGCCCAAGACAACUGCAGUCUUCGACACGGCCUCCUGCCUUCUGUGUUCCUGUCACAGGUGUGCAGGGCUCCCCAGGAAGGCUCGAACAUCUUCCUUCUCACCAGGAUUCCAUGGGCUGGUCCUAAGCCUAGAAGGGCCACAAGGUCAUCUGCUCAGAUGUCUCAAGAGAGUGCUUUGUUGUUAGGGACUUAGUGAGAAUGCUACUUGGUGGCCAGUGACCAGUCUACCCUGAAAGCAGGGUUCCAACAGAAGGUACAGAGGGCCCAGGCUAUACCUCUGUCAAGUCUGACAUUGAAUCAGGCUUGGCUUCUCUGGGUGGGGAAUCUGAGGGUGGGUGUGCAAAUACCCCGGCAGGCAUCACUAUUCGUAUUUUACCCCAGACUGUCCAGGGCCUGCCAGGCCUUAGCUCUCCACACAUUCUGUGUGUGGACUCCAUUAUUAUUUAAAAGUAAAGUAAAUCAAAACAUCUGCCUCUGCUUUCCUAAUCUGCUGAGGCUACUCUGUCCUCACCUGUUCCUGCUUCAGUUUCUAAUCUAUUUCUAGGACAUUCUGAGAGAUUUGGUGCCUGAAACCCAACAAACACUGGGAAGGAAAAUAAAUGAACUGUUACAUCUGGAAGGAAAUCUGAGUUUUCAAAGGAGAGUACACUGGAGGGUUACCCUUUCCACUCCCGAUGCCUGUAAACUGCACGUCCAAGACGCUAUCUGGUGACCUGGUCUGCGUCUCUCUAAACUCAGAUAAACUCAGAAUGCUCUGAGCCCUCAUGCUGGAAGCACGUGUGGUUCUCCCUUGUACCUGAGCUUUCUCCAUUCCUUCAGCUGCCACCGAUAAUGUCCCACUGAGGAAGCAGCACUCUGGGAAGCCAGAGCCGGCCCUCUGCCUAAAUGACACAGGUUUCUUGGACACUGACUACUGAAGAAUCGGGGCAUGGCUAGCGUCACCAAGGAGUGGAUAAGGAAGUAUGGGGCUCACUGACCAGCAGGUCACAUGACUACACAUCUUCAAAACUGGACUUUAAAACUGAAGAUUUUAAACAGGUAGCAGUUUGGAAAAGGCAAUGUGCUAGCUACCAGGACCACCACUGCACGACGACGACGUAUAGAUUCCAUGAAAGGCAGAGUGAAAAAUCAACAGGGCCAUCGCUCAAACACGAGGAUCCAAGCGAGGCAGGAGAGGCAUGUGACAAUACCAAAUGGAACUCUCAUUGUGCUAGGAGCUGUGAUGGCCGUCGCUACCACCCCCAGAGCGCCCAUGAAGCAAAGGUGCACAAGGAGGGCAGGGAGGGGAUUUGGUGGCACCCCUGGGUUGGUGUCCAUGGCCAC
ensembl:lncRNA